UGGGGAAUAUUGCACAAUGGGCGCAAGCCUGAUGCAGCGACGCCGCGUGGGGGAUGACGGCCUUCGGGUUGUAAACCUCUUUCACCAUCGACGAAGGUCCGGGGUUCUCGGAUUGACGGUAGGUGGAGAAGAAGCACCGGCCAACUACGUGCCAGCAGCCGCGGUAAUACGUAGGGUGCGAGCGUUGUCCGGAAUUACUGGGCGUAAAGAGCUCGUAGGUGGUUUGUCGCGUUGUUCGUGAAAUCUCACGGCUUAACUGUGAGCGUGCGGGCGAUACGGGCAGACUUGAGUACUGCAGGGGAGACUGGAAUUCCUGGUGUAGCGGUGGAAUGCGCAGAUAUCAGGAGGAACACCGGUGGCGAAGGCGGGUCUCUGGGCAGUAACUGACGCUGAGGAGCGAAAGCGUGGGGAGCGAACA
rnacentral:rRNA from 1 species